AUUGAACGCUGGCGGCAGGCCUAACACAUGCAAGUCGAGCGAGCGGCGGACGGGUGAGUAAUGUCUGGGAAACUGCCUGGUGGCGGGGGAUAACUACUGGAAACGGUGGCUAAUACCGCAUACCAUCAGAUGUGCCCAGAUGGGAUUAGCUAGUAGGUGGGGUAACGGCUCACCUAGGCGACGAUCCCUAGCUGGUCUGAGAGGAUGACCAGCCACACUGGGACUGAGACACGGUCCAGACUCCUACGGGAGGCAGCAGUGGGGAAUAUUGGACAAUGGGCGCAAGCCUGAUGCAGCCAUGCCGCGUGUAUGAUGAAGGCCUUCGGGUUGUAAAGUACUUUCGGCGGAGAGGCGGUACCCGCAGAAGAAGCACCGGCUAACUCCGUGCCAGCAGCCGCGGUAAUAC
rnacentral:rRNA from 1 species